rnacentral:lncRNA from 1 species
UCUGGCUUGGUCGGUUUUGAUUUCACUAUCUUGCCCUCAGGUGCAACAGCUCCUCUAAGACUUCAUUGGACGUCUGUUUGCCAACUUUUAAAUAAUUUUAGAUGGUUUCCUGUCAAUUAUUUUAAUCUUAAUUUGAUCAUCUCAAUUUUGUUUCCUUCAUAUCCUAGCCUAAUGAUCUCAGCAUCUACAUCUUUGAACACACAAGCUUUUACAAUAAUCAGUCUUGCCUAUGCUCCUAAUCUAUAUUUUAACUAGAAUAAACCCUAUUUAGGUCCCUAAUAUUUUACAUUUGAAA